CGGUAGGGGCAGCGUUGUCCGGAUUUAUUGGGCGUAAAGAGCGUGUAGGCGGUCAGGUAGGUCCGUUGUGAAAACUCGAGGCUCAACCUCGAGACGCCGAUGGAAACCAUCUGACUAGAGUCCGGAAGAGGAGAGUGGAAUUCCUGGUGUAGCGGUGAAAUGCGCAGAUAAUCAGGAAGAACACCGUGGCAAGGCGGCUCCUCUAGUACGGUACUGACGCUGAGACGCGAAAGCGUGGGGAGCGAACAGG
rnacentral:rRNA from 1 species